GCAGGUCUGAGGGCAGAAUGAAUAGCUGCUGUCAGGACCAGUGUGGUAGACAGUACUUGGUACUCAGUGCUUGGUACUCAAUGGGGAGCCCAUAGUCACAAAUGCAGGUGAGAGGCUACAGGCUAGGGUCACAUGACCAAUAGUAGUGAUGGUUUGUCCUACAAUCUGUUACUGUAACUACGGAAACCCCGAGGUGUUUUCAGUCCCACCCUGGCUGUUUCAGUUAUUGGGAGUCUUCUUUAGCAUCACCUCCAUUUUGAAACAGCAGUUGUUGGGGUAAAACCCUGUGUUACAUGUUUAAUAUUAAUAAAGAAGUUCAGAUAUCACACAAAAAUGGUUUUUGUUUGUUUGUUUUUCAAGAUAGAGUUUCUCCAUGUAGCCCUGGCUGGCCUUGAACUCAAGGUAUGGCUGAACUACAUAGCAAGACUUUGUCUCGGAUAUUUAAAAAAUUGGCCUGGAGGGAUAACUCAGCGGUUAAGGACGCUGUCUACUCUAGCUGGGUGGUGGUGGUGCACGCCUUUAAUGCCAGCACUCGGGAGGCAGAGCCAGGCAGAUCUCUGUGAGUUCGAGGCCAGCCUGGUCUACAGAUCGAGAUCCAGGACAGGUACCAAAACUACACAGAGAAACCCUGUCUUGGGAGGGGAAAAAAAGGAAGAAAGAAAAGAAAAGAAUGCUGUUUACUCUUGUAGAGGACCUGGCUGGGUUCAGCUGCCAAUAUAUUAAGCAGCUCAUAACUGCCUGUAACUACUCCAUCUCUAGGGGAUUUGAUGCUUCCAAGGCACCUGUACACACACACACACACACACACACACACAUACACACACACACACACACACACAUUUAAGGAAAACUCAAAAGUAUUUUUUAAUUUAAGCAAAAAUAUAAGGAAUUGGUUGAUAAAGCUGUAAAUUUCUAAAGUAUCUUCUCAAGCCUGGUGAGAUGGCUCCAACUGUCACCAGUCUCUAGAAGCAGCAUGAUGGAAAGAGAAAGCUAACUCCUGCAAGCUGAAUUCUGACCUCCACCUUUGUGCCAUGAUUGAGUGUGCACACACACACCAGCAGUAAAAUGUAAUUUGAAAGCCAGGCAUGUUAGUGUGUACCAUUAAUCCCAGCACUCGGAAGGCAGAGGCAGGCAGAUUUCUGAGUUCCAGGCCAGUCUGGUCUACAGAGGGAGUUCCAGGCAGCCAGGACUACACAGAGAAACCCUGUCUCAAAAAAAAAAAAGUACAAUUUAAAAAUAAAGUAAAUGUGGAAUAUGUUCUCAUGUAUGUAUGCUUUAUCUCAAUAAGAACCCUCAAAACUUUAUUAUCAGGGAAGAAAAUUGUUCAAGAAGAUAGAGACACCGUGGGAGAGCUCUUGCCCAGAAUGCACCAGGCCCUGACUUCCAUCCUCAGCAUUACAUAAACUAGAUGAGAUCCCAGUGCUUGGGACGUGGAAACAGGGGAUCAGGAAUGGAAGGGUAUUCUCAGCUACACAGCAAAUUUGAGGCCAGCCUGUCUAGUCUGGACUUCACGAGACGCUGGAAAGAGAAGGAGAGAGAACCAGAGCAUUCUGGGAGUGAACACUGAGGACGUCCCACCUGUGUGUUUGACCAAUGAAACCGACCAUCUUGUGGCAGGGGGCUGUGUUCCUGGGUAUUUGUCCUUGUGCUGGUACCAGCCUGAGUGUUGUUGGCAAGGCUCCCCAGUUUCCCUCCGUUGGGAGAAGGGGGCCUGGACAGUCCGGCUCCGUUCUGCCCACUGGGAGGCGCCGCCUUACAAUCCCGGUCCACCGUCUCCUCUUAAGCCACCCUACCCUGCCCCGUUUCCUUCCUCUACCGGGAAGAUGUUCAGAUGUCGGUGCACACACUGUUAGGGAUAUUACUGUAUCAUUUGUUUAUGUGGACCGCUGCAUGGAGGCAUACGCAUGCGUGUAAGUGUCUGUGAGAGGCCAGAAGAGAGCGUCAGAGGAUGCUUGGACCCAAACUCCAGUCCUCGGAAAGGACGGCCAUUUCUGCAGCCCCUGCACUCAGUUAAUAGAAAUUCAAUGUAGCUGGUCCCCGACCCCUAAAGUCUCCUGCCUGUCUUAUUUUUCUCCCUGAUGCUGUAUUCCCAGUCACAGGGUUGCAGAACCACACACAAACUGCCUUGUCUGUGUUGAAUCUCGGUCCUGUCGCAUAGCCAGGUGGCCCUUGAUUUCAAGAUCUCCUGGACUCAGCCUCCUGGGUGCUGAGAUUAUAGACAAGCACCAUCAAGCGUCACUGAUAGCUAAUAUUAUUUUAAAAUUAAUUUGAGAAGCUGAAGAAAUGACUCAGUAGUUAAGUGCAUGUACUGGCCGGGCGGUGGUGGCGCACGCCUUUAAUCCCAGCACUCGGGAGGCAGAGGCAGGCGGAUCUCUGUGAGUUCAAGGCCAGCCUGGUGAACAAAGUGAGAUCCAGGACAGGCACCAAAACUACACAGAGAAACCCUGGGUCAAAAAAUAAAAAAAAAAAAAAAAUCCAAGUUUGGUUCCCAGCACCCACGUUGCACACUCACACUCACCUAUAACUCCACCUCCAGGGGACCCAACAACUCUCUUCUGGCCUCCGAAGGCAGCUGCACUCAUACGCACACACACAUAUGCAUAAUUUAGAAAAAAAAAUAAGUCUUUUUUUUUUUUUUUUUUUUGAUGAAGGCUCUCACUAUGUUGCCCUGGUUGGCUUCAAACUUGCAGAGAUCCUCCUGCCUCUGCAUUACAAGCAUGUGGCACCCAGCAAAAAUAAAAACUCUAAUUUUUUUUUCACUUGAGAAGGGAUGUCAUUUAUAAUUGACACACAGCUCUGUAUGGAGUCUCAGCUCUCCAUUUGUCCUCAGCCACAGCCACACCAACCCCCCACUUUCCUUCAGCUCUCUAGGUCCCUGUGACCACAGGGCCUCCACACUGGCUCUUCCCCAUGCCUGUAACAUGUCUCCAGUCAGCUACAGUUGGUAUCGUGACUGCAAGGUCACCUGUGCCCAGAUGCCCCACAGGCCGAGCUAAACUGCCCAGGUGAACAGUCCAGGCCCCUCGGCUGCCCUGAAUCUUCUUCCAUUACUUGUCCCUUCGUGUCAAUUCCUGUGACUGUCUGGUGUUGUGUCUCCUUUUCAACAUUGUAUCAACAGUGUACGCUGCUGUAACAGAACACAUUUAAAUUUAGUGAGGUUUGUUUUUA